rnacentral:rRNA from 1 species
GAGUUUGAUCUUGGCUCAGAGUGAACGCUGGCGGUAGGCCUAACACAUGCAAGUCGAACGGCAGCACAGAGGAGCUUGCUCCUUGGGUGGCGAGUGGCGGACGGGUGAGGAAUACAUCGGAAUCUACUCUGUCGUGGGGGAUAACGUAGGGAAACUUACGCUAAUACCGCAUACGACCUACGGGUGAAGCAGGGAUCUUCGGACCUUGCGCGAUUGAAUGAGCCGAUGUCGGAUUAGCUAGUUGGCGGGGUAAAGGCCCACCAAGGCGACGAUCCGUAGCUGGUCUGAGAGGAUGAUCAGCCACACUGGAACUGAGACACGGUCCAGACUCCUACGGGAGGCAGCAGUGGGGAAUAUUGGACAAUGGGCGCAAGCCUGAUCCAGCCAUACCGCGUGGGUGAAGAAGGCCUCGGUUGUAAG